CUGGUGGCCCCCCGGCUAUUUAGGACUAGGCUUGAUGAUUGCUCUAACAUCACCCACGGGUGCUGGCUGAGCUCCUCUCUGCUUAACUGCUGCUUUCUGCUCGCUUGUCAGUGUGAAAAAGGGCAGGACUCAAUCUGUGAAGCGUUUUGGGAAGCACUGAAGGAGCAUGGAGGGAAUGUCUGCGAGUCCCUGACAAGGAAAGUGGGACACAACUCCAAUCUCGUUGGCACUCCUUUGUGUCAGAGCGGCUCAAAUUCUGCCCUGUUCUGUAAUUAAUCUAGAACUGACUUUGUUCAGUACCAGGUGACAUCCUGACUGGGAAGCCAGCUCCUGCUUUAUCCCUGAUCAGCAUCUCCACCACACACACAUCCAUCCGCUUGUGCUCCAACAUAACAGCUACAGCUCCCUGGAAGGAAAAGCAGUGCAAGGAAAGAAAGAGAAGCCAGAGAGGCUGAACUCUGAAUGGGAAUUUCUGGCAGUUGCUACUGGGUGUGUGAGAGGGAAAGAGAGCAUUAGCAAGGCAGAGACUCUAGGUCUGGGCCUCCUAGCCCAGUUUUUCCCAGACCUACAGGUGAUGGGCUGCACAUAUGCAUGAGUGAUUCUGUCACAGAGGAAAAGGAACGGUUUGCUGCCCCAGCCCACUCUGUUCAGAUACCUCUUCUUGUUAGGUUUCUUGCAGGGUUCACUAUUUCCCUUUUUCUUUUCCCUAAAGGAAUAAUGCCCUGUUGUUAGCCUGCUCCUGAACACAUUCCAAGAUGGUGUCAGAUGAGUGCAGAUGCCAGAAGUUCUCCUCCCUUGCAUUGUGUAGCGUUCAUUGUCAAAUCACAGACAAUUACUUUACCUGCUAGUUGUCAACAUCAAAACAGACAGGAAUUCUUUACCUCCAAAACUGCUUACUCAGCACCAUCUUCUGCUGACUUUGCCCUCCUCUCAGCCUGUCUGGAAGGAAUGAAUGGGGUGGAAAGGAAGCAACAAGCUUUCUUUCAAGCUGUUGCUCUCAGGGCUGAGCUGAGAAGCUCUCUGGAAGGAUAUUCUUGCAGAACUGGAGCUCUGAACUUCUGCAGAGCAGCUCCAAGAGCCCAGCACCAAGGAAGACAGGUAGCCAUAGAAAAGAGUACACAACAUCUAUGGAGCAUAACUGAUCAGACACACCCUAGAGGAGAUACACCCUUCCUACCCUUGUAAGCCAGCAAAAUCUACAGCUUCAUCUCUGACCGAUAGCAUGAACCAUGCUGGAUGCUCAGCAUCUCACCACAUGUAAACCCAAGCAGAUCUUCUCAAGGCAGUGGAGCAAAGCCAGCCCAGCUCAGAUCUGCAAACCUCCACACAUGUGUGUGUCUGCCUGUAGGAGCCAUUUGAAGUUCUCUGCCUCCAGAACGUGCAUCGAAGACAUACUGCUCAGAAACAUUCACCCCACUCAGGAAUCAGAGAUCCUUUACAUCAAGAGCAACCUUUACUCGGUCCUCUUGCUUAAGUCAGGCCAGAAAAUGUCAUCAGCAGUUCCUCAGUGCAGUGCAACACACUGCCCCUGAACCUGGGUUUGCUUAUCUGAGCUCAGAUAUCUGUACUAAUAGCUACAAUUACUAUUUGGUGCAUUACGCUGUCUUACAAGCAGGUGUAAAUAGAAGAACCACUAUGCUGGCUGUAAAACAGCAGCCCACCCCCAGAAAAGUCCCUUGUAGGCUCACUACAUCUUUGAAACAUGAAAUCAUGCAAUCCUACUGAGAUUUAAACUGUCUCAGCACAGUGACCUGUCUUUCAACCAAAUACAAUCCAGUUCAAAAGAGCUGUCCUUCUCAUUUCUUAGUAACUAGAGGGUUCUCAGCAUGGUUUAUUGAAGACUCCCCAGCUUUGCACUCCUUGAGGACAGAUGCAGAAGAAGGAAGGAGUAAACCUGGGCUCAUUUCUCUGAGUAAAAUCACUGUUUUUCAGAGGAGGAUGUUACUGUGCCUCCCAGAAGGCACAUGGCUCAUAUGAUA